rnacentral:rRNA from 1 species
GACGAACGCUGGCGGCGUGCUUAACACAUGCAAGUCGAACGGAGCUUCCCGGAUUGAGACUUCGGUCAAAUGAACGGAAGCUUAGUGGCGGACUGGUGAGUAACGCGUGAAGAACCUGCCUUUCAGAGGGGGACAACAGUUGGAAACGACUGCUAAUACCGCAUAACGUAUUUUGGGGGCAUCCCUGAAAUACCAAAGAUUUUAUCGCUGAAAGAUGGCUUCGCGUCUGAUUAGCUAGUUGGUGAGGUAACGGCUCACCAAGUCGACGAUGGAUAGGGGUUCUGAGAGGAAGGUCCCCCACAUUGGUACUGAGACACGGACCAAACUCCUACGGGAGGCAGCAGUGAGGAAUAUUGGUCAAUGGGCGAGAGCCUGAACCAGCCAAGUCGCGUGAAGGAUGAAGGAUCUAUGGUUUGUAAACUUCUUUUAUACGGGAAUAAAGUGUGGUACGUGUACCAUUUUGAUGUACCGUAUGAAUAAGCAUCGGCUAACUCCGUGCCAGCAGCC